GCGGGUAUAGUACAGCGGUAGUACGCGUCCUUGCCAAGGACGAUGCAGGGGUUCGACUCCCCUUACCCGCU
rnacentral:tRNA from 1 species